UACGUAGGGGGCAAGCGUUGUCCGGAAUCAUUGGGCGUAAGCGCGCGUAGGCGGCCCGGUAAGUCCGCUGUAAAAGUCCAGGGCUCAACCCUGGAAAGCCGGUGGAUACUGUCGGGCUAGAGUCCGGAAGAGGCGAAGUGGAAUUCCGUGGUGUAGCGGUGGGAAAUGCGCAGAUAUCAGGAGGAACACCGAUGGCGAAGGCAGCUCGC
rnacentral:rRNA from 1 species